rnacentral:snRNA from 1 species
CGGAAUCGAGAGCUCCAAGU